rnacentral:rRNA from 1 species
CGGCCACCGCUAUUGGUAUUCGAUUAAGACAUGCGAGUCGAGAGACGUAAGGUCUCGGCGGACCGCUGAGUAACACGCGGAUAACAUGCCCUGGGGCGGGGGAUAACCUCGGGAAACUGAGAAUAAUACCCCAUAGGUUUAGGGUGCUGGAAUGCUUCUAUGCUGAAAACUCCGGUGCCCCAGGAUUGGUCUGCGGCUUAUCAGGUUGUAGUGGGUGUAACGGACCCACUAGCCUAUGACGAGUAUGGGCCUUGAGAGAGGAAGCCCACAGAUGGACUCUGAGACAUGAGUCCAGGCCCUACGGGGCGCAGCAGUCGCGAAAACUUCACAAUGGGAGAAAUCCCGAUGAGGGAAUACCAAGUGCCAGCACUUUUGUGUUGGCUGUUCUCCUGUCUAAAAAACAGGAGAAGUAAGGGCCGGGUAAGACGGGUGCCAGCCGCCGCGGUAAUACCCGCGGCCCGAGUGGUGGUCGAUAUUAUUGAGCCUAAAACGUCCGUAGCCGGUCUCAUAAAUCCUUGGGUAAAUCGGCCAGCUUAACUGUCCGAAGUCCGAGGAGACUGUGAGACUUGGGAUCGGGAGAGGUCAGAGGUACUUCUGGGGUAGGGGUAAAAUCCUGUAAUCCUGGAAAGACCACCGGUGGCGAAAGCGACUGACUAGAACGAAUUCGACGGUGAGGGACGAAGCCCUGGGGCGCAACGGGAUUAGAUACCCCGGUAGUCCAGGGUGUAACGCUGCGGGCUUGGUGUUGGGGGUCCUUUGUGGGCGCCAGUGCGAAAGAGUGUAGCUGCUGCUUGGGGGAGUACGUCGCAAGGAUGAAACUUA